rnacentral:misc_RNA from 1 species
UUGAAAUAAACCUGAUGGGUUGUUGCUGGUCUCUUCGGAGGUAUGUGCACGCCUGCCAUUGUUUCAUUCUCCCUUCCACCUGUGCACUUUUUGUAGGCCUUUCCAGGUCUAUGUUGCUUCAUUUUACCCCAACUGUAUGUCAUUAGAAUGUUGUGCCUAUAUAACAUAUA